rnacentral:tRNA from 1 species
ACCUGGCUGGCUCAGGUGGAAGAGUGUGUGACUCUUGGUCUUGGGGUUGUGGGUUCAAGCCCCACGUUGGGUG